rnacentral:rRNA from 1 species
UGGGGAAUAUUGGACAAUGGGGGCAACCCUGAUCCAGCAAUGCCGCGUGUGUGAAGAAGGUCUUCGGAUUGUAAAGCACUUUCGACGGGGACGAUGAUGACGGUACCCGUAGAAGAAGCCCCGGCUAACUUCGUGCCAGCAGCCGCGGUAAUACGAAGGGGGCUAGCGUUGCUCGGAAUGACUGGGCGUAAAGGGCGUGUAGGCGGUUUACACAGUCAGAUGUGAAAUCCCCGGGCUUAACCUGGGAGCUGCAUUUGAUACGUGUAGACUAGAGUGUGAGAGAGGGUUGUGGAAUUCCCAGUGUAGAGGUGAAAUUCAUAGGUAUUGGGAAGAACACCGGUGGCGAAGGCGGCA